GAUGAAGAACGCAGCGCAAUGCGAUAAGUAAUGUGAAUUGCAGAGUUCAGUGAAUCAUCGAAUCUUUGAACGCACAUUGCGCCCGUCAGUAUUCUGACGGGCAUGCCUGUCCGAGCGUCAUUUCAACCCUCAAGCACUGCUUGGCGUUGGCGGAUUGCGUGCCCUCGCGGCGCUGCAACCGCCCAAAUACAGUGGCGGUCCCGCUGCGGCUCCCUUUGCGUAGUAACUCACCUCGCACUGGACCGGGCGGCGGCCUGCCGUAAAACCCCAACUCACGAAAUGUUGACCUCGGAUCAGGUAGGAAUACCCGCUGAACUUAAGCAUAUCAAUAAGCGGAGGA
rnacentral:misc_RNA from 1 species